GACGAACGCUGGCGGCGUGCCUAAUACAUGCAAGUAGAACGCUGAAGAGAGGAGCUUGCUCUUCUUGGAUGAGUUGCGAACGGGUGAGUAACGCGUAGGUAACCUGCCUGGUAGCGGGGGAUAACUAUUGGAAACGAUAGCUAAUACCGCAUAAAAUUGAUUAUUGCAUGAUAAUUGAUUGAAAGAUGCAAUUGCAUCACUACCAGAUGGACCUGCGUUGUAUUAGCUAGUUGGUGAGGUAACGGCUCACCAAGGCGACGAUACAUAGCCGACCUGAGAGGGUGAUCGGCCACACUGGGACUGAGACACGGCCCAGACUCCUACGGGAGGCAGCAGUAGGGAAUCUUCGGCAAUGGGGGGAACCCUGACCGAGCAACGCCGCGUGAGUGAAGAAGGUUUUCGGAUCGUAAAGCUCUGUUGUAAGAGAAGAACGGGUGUGAGAGUGGAAAGUUCACACUGUGACGGUAUCUUACCAGAAAGGGACGGCUAACUACGUGCCAGCAGCCGCGGUAAUACGUAGGUCCCGAGCGUUGUCCGGAUUUAUUGGGCGUAAAGCGAGCGCAGGCGGUUAGAUAAGUCUGAAGUUAAAGGCUGUGGCUUAACCAUAGUAUGCUUUGGAAACUGUUUAACUUGAGUGCAGAAGGGGAGAGUGGAAUUCCAUGUGUAGCGGUGAAAUGCGUAGAUAUAUGGAGGAACACCGGUGGCGAAAGCGGCUCUCUGGUCUGUAACUGACGCUGAGGCUCGAAAGCGUGGGGAGCAAACAGG
rnacentral:rRNA from 1 species